rnacentral:rRNA from 1 species
UACGGAGGGGACUAGCGUUGUUCGGAAUUACUGGGCGUAAAGCGCACGUAGGCGGAUUUGUAAGUCAGGGGUGAAAUCCCGGGGCUCAACCUCGGAACUGCCUUUGAUACUGCGAAUCUCGAGUCCGGAAGAGGUGAGUGGAAUUCCUAGUGUAGAGGUGAAAUUCGUAGAUAUUAGGAAGAACACCAGUGGCGAAGGCAGCCCCCUGGGUUAGCACUGACGCUCAGGCACGAAAGCGUGGGGAGCAAACAGG